AUUGAACGCUGGCGGCAGGCCUAACACAUGCAAGUCGAGCGAGCGGCGGACGGGUGAGUAAUGUAUGGGAAACUGCCUGAUGGAGGGGGAUAACUACUGGAAACGGUAGUUAAUCCCGCAUCCCAACAGAUGUGGCCAGCUGGGGUUAGAUAGUAGGUGGGGUAACGGCUCACCUAGGCGACGAUCCCUAGCUGGUCUGAGAGGAUGACCAGCCACACUGGAACUGAGACACGGUCCAGACUCCUACGGGAGGCAGCAGUGGGGAAUAUUGCACAAUGGGCGCAAGCCUGAUGCAGCCAUGCCGCGUGUGUGAAGAAGGCCUUCGGGUUGUAAAGCACUUUCAGCGGGGAGGCGUUACCCGCAGAAGAAGCACCGGCUAACUCCGUGCCAGCAGCCGCGGUAAUAC
rnacentral:rRNA from 1 species